GAAAGCAGGGGAUCGCAAGACCUUGCGCUUUUGGAGUGGCCGAUGCCUGAUUAGCUAGUUGGUGGGGUAAUGGCCUACCAAGGCGACGAUCAGUAGUUGGUUUGAGAGGACGACCAGCCACACUGGGACUGAGACACGGCCCAGACUCCUACGGGAGGCAGCAGUGGGGAAUUUUGGACAAUGGGCGAAAGCCUGAUCCAGCAAUGCCGCGUGAGUGAAGAAGGCCUUCGGGUUGUAAAGCUCUUUCAGUCGAGAAGAAAAGGUUGUGACUAAUAAUCACAACUCAUGACGGUAUCGACAGAAGAAGCACCGGCUAACUACGUGCCAGCAGCCGCGGUAAUACGUAGGGUGCGAGCGUUAAUCGGAAUUACUGGGCGUAAAGGGUGCGCAGGCGGCUUUGUAAGUCAG
rnacentral:rRNA from 1 species